rnacentral:rRNA from 1 species
AGUGAACGCUGGCGGUAGGCCUAACACAUGCAAGUCGAACGGCAGCACCGUAAGAGCUUGCUCUUACGGGUGGCGAGUGGCGGACGGGUGAGGAAUACAUCGGAAUCUACUUUUUCGUGGGGGAUCACGUAGGGAAACUUACUCUAAUACCGCAUACGACCUACGGGUGAAAGCAGGGGAUCUUCGGACCUUGCGCGAUUGAAUGAGCCGAUGUCGGAUUAGCUAGUUGGCGGGGUAAAGGCCCACCCAGGCGACGAUCCGUAGCUGGUCUGAGAGGAUGAUAAGCCACACUGGAACUGAGACACGGUCAAGACUCCUACGGGAGGCAGCAGUGGGGAAUAUUGGACAAUGGGCGCAAGCCUGAUCCAGCCAUACCGCGUGGGUGAAGAAGGCCUUCGGGUUGUAAAGACCUUUUGUUGGGAAAGAAAAGCAGCAGGUUAAUACCCAGCUGUUCUGACGGUAACCAAAGAAUAAGCACCGGCUAACUUCGUG